rnacentral:rRNA from 1 species
UGGGGAAUCUUGCACAAUGGGGGAAACCCUGAUGCAGCGACGCCGCGUGAACGAUGAAGCCCUUCGGGGUGUAAAGUUCUUUCGACAGGAACGAUAAUGACGGUACCUGGAGAAGAAGCUGCGGCUAACUACGUGCCAGCAGCCGCGGUAAUACGUAGGCAGCGAGCGUUGUUCGGAGUUACUGGGCGUAAAGAGUGCGUAGGCGGCGAGCCAAGUUUGGUGUGAAAUCUCCCGGCUUAACCGGGAGGGUGCGCCGAAAACUGGUUGGCUGGAGUAUGGGAGAGGAAAGCGGAAUUCCUGGUGUAGCGGUGAAAUGCGUAGAUAUUAGGAGGAACACCUGCGGUGUAGACAGCUUUCUGGACCAAAACUGACGCUGAGGCACGAAAGCGUGGGUAGCAAACA